rnacentral:rRNA from 1 species
CGCUUUUGUGGGGUGCUCGAGUGGCGAACGGGUGGGUAACACGUGAGUAACCUGCCCUUGACUUUGGGAUAACUUCAGGAAACUGGGGCUAAUACCGGAUAGGAGCUCCUGCUGCAUGGUGGGGGUUGGAAAGUUUCGGCGGUUGGGGAUGGACUCGCGGCUUAUCAGCUUGUUGGUGGGGUAGUGGCUUACCAAGGCUUUGACGGGUAGCCGGCCUGAGAGGGUGACCGGCCACAUUGGGACUGAGAUACGGCCCAG